CCGGGCUGGCAGCCCGCAAGCCGCGGCACCGGCUCCCGCAGCCGCGCUGGGUCACCGCGCUCCGGGCAGCCCCUGUACCUUCGCUUUCCUGGAAAGUAGUUUCUCUUCGUUACUGAGAAGAGCCCCGCUCUGGUAGAGGAAGGAGGGGCCUUGCCACCGCUUCAUGCGAAGAGGCCACUACUUGUGCUAUUUUUUCUCAUAAGAGUGGAACAAAACCAGCCUCUGCUCGCUCUGAACCACUGAAGGUUGGACUUGCAGCACAUCAGGAGAUGGUGGCAGUCAUUUCCCACCCACCCCACAAUCAUCCUUCCAUCCUCAUGUCUGUACUCAGGCUCUGCCUGCAUCACCUCUCAACCCAGGGUACCCAGGCCUUCCCCUUGCUUUCUUCUCUCCCUUUCCUUCCCAUUUAACCACUUGGCUGGAACUCCCCAGCUUAUGUCUGGGCCACUUGGUCAGCUACAUUGUCAGGGCAGUUUCAUAUCCUACUCACAUCCCAUCCAGAAAGUCAGUGUCCACACCAGUGGGCAACAGCAUGUUUGAGUCUGGCUGGCAGCGCAGUAAGGCACUGAGAUCCUAAGUAAUUGGUCACCUGUGAUGUGGAAUUGGUGCUCCAGCCCCAGCUGAGCUUCCACACACAGGUCUGCAAAACUGAAGGGUAUGUCAGUACUGGGUGAUCUAAUGUGGUCACUCAUCUUCCCUCCUCUCUGACCUCCAUGUUCUUUUCCUUUGGUUUUUUGGUAUAUUUUUUUCCAUUCUUCUGCAGAUUUUCAGCAUUUAAUUAUCUCCAUUUCUUUCUAUUCCUCAUAUCAUCCUCUCCCUUCCUCUGAGGCAAUGUUUGCCUUUUGCUUUCCCAGAAAACCAUCUUUAUUCAGUAGUUUGCAAUGACCUGCCCCAAAAUACUGUUCUUUUUCCCACACCUCCCGAAGUGACAGGAGUAAAUAGACAGACUGUGGCUCCUUCUACCUUAUGCAAGAUGUGAGGAAUCUGCAUGCUGAGGAGUGAAAGUGUUAGGGUGUUACUGGUUCUUGGGCUUCUGGAUAUCAACAUCUUGGAACUUACCAGACUUGGAGGUUGCUGAAGAACAAGCAGAGAAACACCACAAAGUAGGACUAUGAUCAAAGGUAGAAUGAACUCAGACCUACUGCUCUCAGCAGCAGGACUUCAGACAAAACUGUCUGGAAAUGGUUCAUUCCGUCAGCAGCUCUACCAAUUAAUGCUUUCAUGUUUAAUGUGGUUUAAAGUUUUAGUAUCAGUGAUAGUGAGGGUAUAUUUAUCCAUGUGCAGGGGAAAAAAUGAGGGAUAGGAUAAAAUCUGUAAAUCCUAAACAAAUCCUGGCACCUUCUUGGGAGAUAAUCCUUGUCAUGCUUGUCAUUCCUUGUCAUCAGCAUCCUGGGCAUCUCAAAAACUGUCUUAGGAUGGAUCCAGCUUUCUCCAGAGAUGCAGCAGUGGGCAGUGUUCAAAUUAGCCUGCCUGUAUUCUCACUGUAAUUACACAAAGCCUUUAAGGUGGUUGCCUUCUCCUCCUUCAUGGCACAGGACACAAGCUAUUUCAGCAUCCUUGUGUUUUCCACCUAUAAUGAAGCCACCUCAGAGGUACUUUGAUCCUGAAGGCAUUUUGGACCCUGUGGUUCAAAUGUGAGCUUUGGCAAGCUGUGGUCAAUGGUGCCAUUGUGACAUACCUCUCUGGCUUUCAUAGCUGAAGAUGAUUGCUGCAAUACCCUUCAGCUGUAACUGCUGCCAGGUCACAGUUUCAAGUGGAUGAGAGAAGUAUGAGCAAGACCCGCAGACAAUCUCAGAGCAGAGAAUUCAGAUGUUAACUUUUCACAGGCAAAGAUGAAGAAGAAGAAGAAUAAAAGGUAGAAUUAGACCAGGCCAUUUAACAUUUAGGCAAGGUGGCUGGAAGAGUCUAUGAAGUCACCCAAUAAACGUUAUAAAUAUCCACAGAGGGAAACAGACUCCCUACUAGGCAACUGUAAAGCAAACCACAGGAUAUUUUUGAAGCUGCCAUCCAAAAAUACAAAGAAAAGUGUGACAAGCGUACUUAAAAAUGGAACAGAUGAGUACUUCAUCCCUGCUGUGAUUUAGAGCUCCAGCGGCAGGUCCUCCCACUGAAGCCUCUCUGAAAAAGAAUAAAGUGCUUUGCCCAGAUUCUUAUGGAAGUUCAGAAAUUCUUCUGUGGUCAGCAACAUCUUCAUGCUUGGUUGAAAAUAAAAACAAGAACUGGUGUCUCAACACUCAGUGGAAAUUCUGGCAAGGCUGAGGAUCAUAUUCAGUGGCAUUUCUGACUGCUCUAUGCUCCCUAGCAAUGCCAAGCAGCUGUAAAGCUUUUAGUCUGCUGCUCAAGCUGGAAUUACAGCUGCUUUACAUCACUAGGCUGGUACAGAGCAGCCAGAGCACAUCUGCGUUUGGGAUUUGUAUAGAGCUUUUUCAACAGGGCAAGUCACCUGGUAUGCACACACUAGGGAGUGUGUGCAGCAUCUAAAGAAAGUAUGUAAGUGAAUGAGAGCUGUGAUGAUGUGAUUAAAUCAUAGUUUCAUUACA